rnacentral:rRNA from 1 species
CGCGUAGGCGGGCUUUCAAGUCGGUUGUGAAAUCCCUCAGCUCAACUGAGGAACUGCAUCCGAUACUGUUUGUCUUGAGGACGAGAGGGAGAGUGGAACUUCUGGUGGAGCGGUGAAAUGCGUAGAUAUCAGAAGGAACGCCGGUGGCGAAAGCGACUCUCUGGCUCGUAUCUGACGCUGAGGCGCGAAGCUUGGUAGCAAACG